rnacentral:rRNA from 1 species
GACGAACGCUGGCGGCGUGCUUAACACAUGCAAGUCGAACGGAAAGGCCCUGCUUUUGUGGGGUGCUCGAGUGGCGAACGGGUGAGUAACACGUGAGUAACCUGCCCUUGACUUUGGGAUAACUUCAGGAAACUGGGGCUAAUACCGGAUAGGAGCUCCUGCUGCAUGGUGGGGGUUGGAAAGUUUCGGCGGUUGGGGAUGGACUCGCGGCUUAUCAGCUUGUUGGUGGGGUAGUGGCUUACCAAGGCUUUGACGGGUAGCCGGCCUGAGAGGGUGACCGGCCCACUGGGGAUCUGAGAUCGGCCCAGACUCCUACGGGAGGAAGCAGUGGGGAAUAUUGCACAAUGGGCGGAGGCCGGAUGCAGCAACGCCGCGUGCGGAAUGACGGCCUUCGGGUGGUAAACCGCUUUCGCCUGUGACGAAGCGUGAGUGACGGUAAUGGGAAAAGAAGCACCGGCUAACUACGU